ACCCUGAGCCAGGACCAGGCAGAGUCCUUCAACAUGGGAAACGUGAAUUCCUGUUGGACAGGGACAAGAAAAUCUGCUGGCUCCAGGAAGUGGGUCAAAAGAAUCCAAAAGUGGCCAUUGAAGAGAGUACACCGCAGAAACAAAGCAA